AACUUGUGCUAUGGGCUUGGGUGUGUGUCUUCACUGGGUUUCUGCUUGUGUGUACCUCCAUCAGCUGUCGUGGUUUGGGUUUUUAUCUGUGGGAUGCUGUUGGUAGAAACCAGAAUAAUCUUUUAGAAAAAAGAGAACACAGACAUAACAAUUUCUUUAAACCAUGUUUUCAUAAUUUAUUUGAUGGAGGCAGGUGUACUGUCAGUCAUUUCAAGUGCGUGGUAUCAUGGAAGCAGAGCUGAUCAUUCAGAGUAAACCUCAAGUCUGUAGUAGUAAGGCUGAGGGAAGGGUUUAUGCUUCUGAUGUACCAGCAAUGGUGGGCAAUGGGUGGGAUGGGAAGCAGAAGUUGGUAAAAUGAUUUAUUACCCAAAUAUCACACAGCUAAUAGAAAAGGUGGUAUUGUCACUGCUGGGUCUUGGCUUUCUAGCAUCUUUCAAGAAAUGGUAGGUAUGAUAUAGAACUAGAAGGUGCUGUGGUUAAAUUUGCUGUAGGAAGUGCUGUGCUUUUGCAAAGGCUGGUUUCUGUUACCUCUUUCAUGGGUUUGUGCAUUGAGAUUGGACAUUCAUGGCAAUAACUGCACUGACAAAAAAUGCCUCACAAUUUAUUCUAAGUUCUUUCUGAUGGUGGUACCUCACUGAAAACCUGUAGCAGUACAAACAGCUACGUUUUUAAUUGCACAGAUGGAAGUAGGUAAUUUAAUUUAAAGGUGAAAAUAUUACUUUUUGAAGAGAAAAAAAAUAUAAAUAUUUGGGUUUACAAUUCCAAUUUUUAGUCAUUUCUAAAGACAUAUAGUACAUUUCUAAAGGCAUAAAAAUUCUUGAGGAAUAUGGUAUCCUGCUUCAAGUUCUGUAGAGUGAAGGCAUUUGAUCCUUUGCUUGAUCCUUUGCAUUAGGUGUACCUGAGGCUUUGGGGAUCUGUGUAAGACAAGGGCACCUGUUAAAGCAUUUAAUGUAAAAUAUCUGUAAAAUCUGUACUUUUGAAAAAGGGGGUAAGUGUAUGUUACUAACAGAUGGAUUGUCCUAGUCUUGUAUUACCCUGUCUAGGCUAACUGCCUCUUUAAAAUGUCCAGAAAAGAUUUUACCUUCUUAAGUCCCAGUUUCAGGCAUUCUUCUACUAAGCCAGGACUAAUGGUGGGGGAAGAGCAAUGACAGAGGAAGUGAAGGGCAUGGGCUGGGGAGACUGAAAAAUGGCCAGGGAGGGCAGAGGAGUGGUGGAGAGAUGGAGAAUGAGAAGGCAGAAGAUUCUUUGGGUCUUCAAAAUCCCUGUCCUGUGCUCCAGGUUUCAGAGAUUUGCAACAUGUUGCUAUGACCCAUGUGUUCUCCCAAGGCUUACAGGACUGUUUAGGUAGCUUUUAGUAUUCUUUGCUAUUUAAUGUAGGUUUGCUUCUGUGAAAUCAAGUCAGCAGUUUAGGCAAUUUUAAAGAAGAUUCUAAGUCUAUCGAAUUUCCUGCAGUUCUUUCACCUGAAGAUUUGGUGUGCACAAUUAAUUUCAGAUUUAAGUUAUUUGAAAGGAACAACUGGGGGUUUUCUGAGGCAUUCCACAGCUCUACAUUAUUUUCCACCAGUAGCUUAAACUUCUGACAUUUGAAUAAUUCCUCUAGCUGAGAUCUGCAGAAUCAUUUGUCUCUGUGAAAUGUUCGUGCGUUUGAAAGAAACAUUUUGGUCGUAAUACUGCCCAGUCAAAUUUUAAACCUCUAUAUCAAGUGCUCUGUACACAGUUAAGAGUUUAAAAAUAGAGUUGUCCCAAGGCUUGCCAAGAGUCUGGAGACAGUCAAACUAAUAGAAAUAUGUAAACUUUCAUAAUGUGUUUACCGCAGGCGGAAAAAUAUGCUGAGGACUUUGCUUUCAAAAAGCCUUUGUCCAAGGGUUCUUAAAAUAAAAAAAAAAAAAAAAGAAAGAAAAGGAGAGGUUGCUUACGGUUAUAUUGUGGCUCCAUUUAUAGACAUUGAAAUAUGUUAAUAUCCACUGGAUUCUACUGAAGUGUUUCUUGGAAAAGUGCUGGCCAAGUGAAGUCAGUAGGAGCUGCAAGAAACAGCAGACUUUUAAAAGCUGCCUGUGCCUAUUCAGAUAUUGUAUUUGGAGUCAGAAUUUUGGUAUUAUUUUUUAAAAAAUGGAAAAAAGGAAAAUAGGUUUGAAGGGCUGAUCCAGUGAAAUUUCUGCAAAUUGAGUCUAUGUUUGUGAAACUGGGGCUUAGUGUGCGGAAAUGCAGAACAUGUUAUGAUUUUAGCACAGUACUGGGGCCAGUGCUGUGGAGAAGCUGUGUCAGCUGCUUCCCAGGGAGUUCCCAGGGAGCAAGGGAGAGACUAAACUGCAAAGCACAGUGCUUUAAUCACUUGCUGUGUAAAUUUGAGCCCUAUGAUUUUUCCUGCUAGGACAAAUCCUCCAUCCCUGAGCUGCUGUGUAAAGUAACAGUUCUUCAGCUGCUUGUUUCUUAUUUCAUUCUGCAUUAUGGAGCCACUGAGGAAGCAGGUGUUAAAUAGGACAGCAAAUUGGAGCUUGAGGAGGUUGUGGCUGCUGGCAGCCUUGUCACAGCAUCUGUACAUGAACUUUGCUGUGGGAGGUGAUGUGGUUCCCAGGAACCACUAAGUGCUGCUCUUUUUGUCUUCUAAACUGCCCAGGUGGGAACUCAAAGCCAUGGCUUUGUCAGGUGGGCUCCAUCCUUGCCCAGCCACCUCCUUCUGGCACUGGCACCACAGUGAGAUGGUGCUUGGUGGUGGUACUGUCCCACUCCUCUAUUCCCUAUGCACUUCUCCCAGCAGGUUGGAGAAAUGCACCCAUUUAGACAUAGCUGCAGGAGUUACUGACUUCUAACAACCCUAAUGUUUGUAAAUCUGCCCUUAGUAAUUGUUUAUGUUUUUGUGUUCAAAGUAAGAGUUUUAGAACUGGACCUAUUUUGGCAAAACUAGAAUUGUUACAUAACUAAGAUAACCAGUGCAUUGUUUUGGCUUAAAUUGCUUUGCUUCAUGAGCCUUUCUCAGAUCAAGGUUGCUUGAAUGCUACUUACACAGGCGAAAAAGGGCCAAAUUGUGUUAAUAAGUGCAAAGUUGUAUUAUUAAUUGCUUUUGAAAUGCUAUAUGAAUUCUAAAUGAUAUUUGGAAUCUAGUUUCAUUGUUCUACUAUCUUUUGUUUGUUUGUUUUGGCUUUUUCAUUGGUAUUCCUUGGAGACAGAAAGCAAGAGUUUGGAAUACUUUUAGGAAACAAGAGCCAGAUUUUCAGAUUAGGGCAGACUAAAAUAUCUCAAUUCACAGAAAUCUUAACAAGUUGCAUAGACACCUAAACUGCAGGGUUUCUGUUUCAUAAGUUAGAUAGUAAAAGCUCAGUAAUCUCCCCCAAUUUUUCUGGUUGCCUCUCAGGAGUGGUUUGAUUUCAUCGGUCCAGGUGGACAGAGCCUGAUGGGCCACAUUUUGGAUAGCUGGGCUUGAAUAUGUCAUCUUGAAUAUGUCAGGGCUCUGAAAAUGUCACCUUAGCACACUGUGCCUGCUCCACCCCACCAGUCUUUCUACAGCACCACCUUUUCUCUCCUUCUGGCCGACACCUGGCUUUUUCAUCAUUACAGUUUCUUUUGCAAAAGGAUCUUCUACACGCAGCCUCUCUUUCUUAUCCUAACUCCAGUGUGACACAAGGCCUGGGAAGCAGUGGCUUCAUGGAGCAGAGAUGAAAAGAACUUCUCAGUUUUAGGUGAAAACUGGGGGGAUGUUCAGAGUCUUCCAAAAUGCUGUUCAGUCACUUUGUCAUCUGACAGCCGAUGGGAAGAAGUUGAUCUACGCUCCUAGCACAGCCCAGCAGUGGCAGAACUCUACAAGUGAAGGGGUUACCAUCUAAGGAAAAGGAAGCAUCCCAGAAUUCACUGCAUCCCAACACCAAGACCCACCUCAUGGCUGUCAGUCAGCUGGAAUAUAAACCCAGAGGUUUCUUUGGAUGGUCCUGAAUCACAACUGUGCCAUGUCUAGCAUGGAAACCUUCUGCAACAGCCCAAGAGGUAUGGCUCGUCUGUGCCUGGACUCCAGUGGACAUCUGCUAUCCAACAUUUCCCAUCCAAUAUCUGCCCAGGAAAAUUCCAAGCAGUGUUUUUUUCUGGAUUCCAUUUCUCAGAAGACAAAACAAUUUUCUAGACAAGUCCCACUGCUAUUUGUUUCUUCAUAAGUCUCCCCUCCAAAAACCCAAAGAAGAUUCUGAAUUUGCUCUCCAAAAGCUCUUAGAUGUAUGCUGGUUGCCUUCCACUACAAAUUAACUACAAGCAGCAAACCCUUUUUCCUCAGAUUAACCACUGCCCCAGAGGGCUUGGUCUUUUCCCUGGCCAAGACAUGGCAUGGCAUCUUGGUGCUGCAAUUCCUGCUGUCCUCCCCAGGAUGCUUCACUUGUGGCUGGCACUGUGCAGUCUGUGCAGCCCAAGCCAGGAAACAGCACAAAGAACAGGUCAAAUAAAUGUGUUGCCAAGCUGCAUCCUGGCACCACCAUGGGAAAGGGGAGCAGGUCCUGGGAGCCAAAAGGAGCACAGUUCAGAUGGGAUGACAUCUUGCAGUGUGGCUCUGGAACAGGAUGUUCCUCAUGGUGUCCUGUUGCUGGGAUGAUAGAGGAGUCAAGGAUGGAGAGGUCCACAUCAACAGAGGCUCAUUCCACCAUGUCCAGGCAGUCUGGAAGAGGGACUGAGGACCAAGAGAAUCUUAGUGCAGCAGAAAUGGCCUUGGACACAGCAAGAGGUGACCAGCAGCAGAUCAUGGACAAGGCUCACAUCACAGAGGUGCAGAGAUCUCCUGUGCCUGGCUACACAAGUGAUGAACACCAUCUCCUCCUGACACUUGUUCUGUGCUCCGGUUUCAUUCCCAAGACAUUGGCAGGUGGCUGUAAUCCUUAUUUCUGACUUUGUUCCCUCUAUUUCCAUAAUAAAGUCCCUGAUGUUUCAGUUGUA